UUCGCUUUUUAUUUAAUUUGUUUUUGAAUGUUACCAUUUGAUUCAACAUCUCAUCUGACUUGUUUCCGUUUUAUGUUAAUUGCUUUUAUCGUUAAUUGCAUUCGUGUUGGGAGGAGCCAAGUGGGAGUAGACUUAGGGGGAGGUUUACGGAGGGAGGGCACAUCUUUUGGCCCCUUGGGGGUCUCUUACUAAGUAAUUAAUACCCUCCGAAUUUUUGUGGUUGAGGCUUCAGUUUAUUUUUGCGGUAUUCCAGGAGAAACAUCUGUUCAAUUUGAAAAGCAGUCGGUGACUGUUCGGAUGGCAUAUAAAAUACCAAAGAAAGAGGAUAAGAAACACUAUGGCCAAGUAAGUAUCUGGUGACUAGGUUAUUGUUGUGACUUAGAACAAUCAUAUUAGGUUACAUUUUGAAUUGUUCGUGAUUGUUUUGUUUCGUAAAUAUGUGAGGGGAAAAGGUUAUGAUAUAACGCGAAUUGAAUUGUGUUCUUAAGUUUCGCAUUUUGAUGCCCUGACAAUCUUUUAGAUAUUAUUUUCCUACUUCAUAUCAUGUGUGCAUUUAUUAAGAUACAUCCAAAAUAUUUCACUUGUUUUAAUAUUC
rnacentral:lncRNA from 1 species